UACGGGGGGAGCAAGCGUUGUUCGGAUUUACUGGGCGUAAAGGGCGCGUAGGCGGCGCAACAAGUCACUUGUGAAAUCUCCGGGCUUAACCCGGAGCGGCCAAGUGAUACUGUCGUGCUAGAGUGCGGAAGGGGCUACUGGAAUUCUCGGUGUAGCGGUGAAAUGCUUAGAUAUGUCAUAGAACACCGAUUGCGAAGGCAGCUUGCUGGACCUGUAUUGACGCUGAGGCACGAAAGCGUGGGGAGCAAACAGG
rnacentral:rRNA from 1 species